rnacentral:rRNA from 1 species
UUGGAGGGCAAGUCUGGUGCCAGCAGCCGCGGUAAUUCCAGCUCCAACAGCGUAUAUUAAAGUUGUUGCAGUUAAAAAGCUCGUAGUUGAAUUUCGGGGUCAGUAGGCUGGUCAUGCCACUGGUAUGUACUGGUCUCACUGAUUCCUCCUUCCUGAUGAGCCGUAAUGCCAUUAAUUUGGUGUUGCGAGGAAUCUGGACUGUUACUUUGAAAAAAUUAGAGUGUUUAAAGCAAGCUAACGCUUGAAUACAUUAGCAUGGAAUAAUGAAAUAGGACGUUCAAUCCUAUUUUGUUGGUUUUUAGGAUUGACGUAAUGAUUAAUAGGGAUAGUUGGGGGCAUUAGUAUUCAAUUGUCAGAGGUGAAAUUCUUGGAUUUAUUGAAGACUAACUACUGCGAAAGCAUUUGCCAAGGAUGUUUUCAUUAAUCAAGAACGAAAGUUAGGGGAUCGAAGACGAUCAGAUACCGUCGUAGUCUUAACCAUAAACUAUGCCGACUAGGGACCGGAUGAUGUUAAUUUUUUAAUGACUCAUUCGGCGCCUUACGGGAAACCAAAGUGUUUGGGUUC